GAAAUGCGAUAAGUAGUGUGAAUUGCAGAAUUCAGUGAAUCAUCGAAUCUUUGAACGCACAUUGCGCCCUUUGGUAUUCCUUAGGGCAUGCCUGUUCGAGCGUCAUCUAAACCUUCAAGCCCUGCUUGGUGUUGGGUGCCUGUCCCGCUUCCGCGCGCGGACUCACCUCAAAUCCAUUGGCGGCCCCCGCGUCGGCCACGAGCGCAGCAGAAACGCGAACUCGUGAGCCCGUCCGGGCGGCUCCCAGAAGCUACACCCACCCAGUUUGACCUCGGAUCAGGUAGGGAUACCCGCUGAACUUAAGC
rnacentral:misc_RNA from 1 species